AAGGAAGAAUAGAAAACAGUAAGUACUGCUAAUCCUUACAGACCUUGGUUAAAAUCCAUGGCUUCCUUG
rnacentral:tRNA from 2 species